AGCCCAGCUUGCUGGUGGAUUAGUGGCGAAUUGGCGACUGAUACGUGGAUUACCUGCCCUUGACUUUGCCUUUAACCUGGGAAAUGGGUCUAAAACCGUGUUUUCUCUUUUGCAGCAUGGUGGGGGUUGGAAAGAUUUUUUGGAUGGGGAUGGGCUCACGGCCUAUCAGCUUGUUGGAGGGGUGAUGGGCCGUAGCGUCUACCGGUCGGCCGAGGGUGACCUGACACGUAACGGAAAUAUGGACCAGACUCCUACGGCAGGCUCCUAUGGGAAAUAUUGCACAAUGGACGCGAGUCUGAUGCAGAAACCCCGCGUGGGGGAUGAAGGCUUUCGGGUUGUAAACUCCUUUCAGUACAGAAGAAGCAUUUGUGACGGUAUGUGCAGAAGAAGCGCCGGCCUACGUGCCAGCAGCCGCGGUAAUACGGGUGCGAGCGUAAUA
rnacentral:rRNA from 1 species